ensembl:misc_RNA 7SK 7SK RNA
GGAUGUUAGGGUGAUCUGGCUGAGACAGCUAUCACCUGAUCACCAGGGUUGAUUCCGCUGAUCCGGCUGACUAGGCAAGUGGCUCCUUCCUUCCUCACCACUCCCGUGUGUCCCUUCUGAAGUUGCAUGCUUAUUGGAAGAGGGCCUGACCUUCUCUAAUAGAGGAGGCCAAUUCUUUUGGUCAAGGGUAUAUGAGUAGCUUCAUUCCCCUGCUAGAACUUCCAAAUGAGCUCUCAGGAAGAAGGAAAGAAGCUGAGUUUGGUUCUAUAACCUGCAAUCCCAGGGACU